rnacentral:rRNA from 1 species
UACGUAGGGUGCGAGCGUUGUCCGGAAUUACUGGGCGUAAAGAGCUCGUAGGUGGUUUGUCGCGUUGUUCGUGAAAACUCACAACUCAAUUGUGGGCGUGCGGGCGAUACGGGCAGACUGGAGUACUGCAGGGGAGACUGGAAUUCCUGGUGGUAGGCGGUGAAAUGCGCAGAUAUCAAGGAGGAACACCGAUGGCGAAGGCAGGGAUCUCCGUGGGCCGAAGCCUACUGACGCUUGGACGAAGCGAAAGACAUGGGG